GAUAUGCUUCUCUUCUUUCACUGCUCAAUUUUGACUUCUAACCACUUUAAUAUCUAAUCUAUUACGUAUGAAACAAAGGAAAUCUUGUCGUCAUGAAGAUAUUUUUGAGGUAGCCAAGGAAGGUGUGUACUGUUUGAGCAAUGAAGUUGCACAAAACUUGGUGGAGUAUCUUCCAACAUUCAACUCUAAGCGCAAUGUUUUGAAGCAUUCUGGUAGUUAGUCAAGUCUGCUUGUUGUGACUCGCUGAUCUUAAUGAAUCCAUCUUGAUAGAGGCUUUUAAGCUCUCUCUGCUUUUAUGAUUGUUGGUUGCUUCUUUUUUUAUGUGAUUUUAGGGACAAAACUUAACUGGGAACCUCAUCGAUGGCUCUUAUUUACUGUCUUUACUUUUGCAAAGUCCUACAAUUCCUUUCUGGAUGGCAUUCUUUUUUUCUCUGUGCCUCAGAUGGCCAAAGUCUGAGAUAUCCAUUGGGGUAUGGUUCUUUUAAACUGUCCAAAGGAUCCAGUGAUGUGUAGUCAUGAUAAUGAGGUGCUGAUUUACAUGUUGUAGAACUCAAUUUGCAUCUCCGGCAUACUGCUCAUAGUUAGAAGUUAGAACUAAAUGGUGUUUUGGUAGCAGUUAAACGUGGAUCUCUGUUGUGCCUUAGUAGCCUACAGCUCUAUUGUUCCUCAAUGCCUCAAUGUGAAAUGCUUUGCAUGCGCUACAAAUUGCCCAUUAUUAUUUUCAGUUUAUGAGUUGUAAUUAGUUGCUUUGUGGUUGGAACCAAACUACUGUAAUUAUAAACACGACUCAGCCUCAAAUGUCAACCAGAAUCUUCAAUUGCUCUUACUUACUCAUUGAAUUGCCCAGCUUGUAACUUUCGAAAACUUUGUUGAAUCAAAUCCAGUUUCAAUUGGACAGAUA